UGGGGAAUUUUGGACAAUGGGGGAAACCCUGAUCCAGCCAUCCCGCGUGUGCGAUGAAGGCCUUCGGGUUGUAAAGCACUUUUGGCAGGAAAGAAACGUCAUGGGUUAAUACCCCGUGAAACUGACGGUACCUGCAGAAUAAGCACCGGCUAACUACGUGCCAGCAGCCGCGGUAAUACGUAGGGUGCAAGCGUUAAUCGGAAUUACUGGGCGUAAAGCGUGCGCAGGCGGUUCGGAAAGAAAGAUGUGAAAUCCCAGAGCUCAACUUUGGAACUGCAUUUUUAACUACCGGGCUAGAGUGUGUCAGAGGGAGGUGGAAUUCCGCGUGUAGCAGUGAAAUGCGUAGAUAUGCGGAGGAACACCGAUGGCGAAGGCAGCCUCCUGGGAUAACACUGGCGCUCAUGCACGAAAGCGUGGGGAGCAAACAGG
rnacentral:rRNA from 1 species